rnacentral:rRNA from 1 species
CAGAGGUCUCAAGCGUUGUUCGGAUUCAUUGGGCGUAAAGGGUGCGUAGGUGGCGGGGUAAGUCAGGUGUGAAAUCUCGGGGCUCAACCCCGAAACUGCACUUGAUACUGCCUUGCUCGAGUACUGGAGAGGAGAUUGGAAUUUACGGUGUAGCAGUGAAAUGCGUAGAUAUCGUAAGGAAGACCAGUGGCGAAGGCGAAUCUCUGGACAGUUACUGACACUGAGGCACGAAGGCCAGGGGAGCAAACGGG